rnacentral:rRNA from 1 species
UACGUAGGAGACGAGCGUUGUCCGGAAUUACUGGGCGUAAAGCGCGUGUAGGCGGAUGAGCAAGUCUGCUGUGAAAGCUCCUGGCUUAACCGGGAGUGGUCGGUGGAAACUGCUCGUCUGGAGGACGGUAGAGGUAGGUAGAAUUCCCGGUGUAGUGGUGAAAUGCGUAGAGAUCGGGAGGAAUACCUGUGGCGAAGGCGGGUCUCUGGGCCGAUAUUGACGUGAGGAGCGAAAGCGUGGGGAGCGAACAGG